rnacentral:rRNA from 1 species
ACGAACGCUGGCGGCGUGCCUAAUACAUGCAAGUCGAGCGGACUGAUUAAGAGCUUGCUCUUAUGACGUUAGCGGCGGACGGGUGAGUAACACGUGGGCAACCUGCCCUGUAGAUCGGGAUAACACCGAGAAAUCGGUGCUAAUACCGGGUAAUAUCUGAGAUCACAUGAUCUUAGGUUAAAAGAUGGCUCCGGCUAUCACUACAGGAUGGGCCCGCGGCGCAUUAGCUAGUUGGUAAGGUAAUGGCUUACCAAGGCGACGAUGCGUAGCCGACCUGAGAGGGUGAUCGGCCACACUGGGACUGAGGCACGGCCCAGACUCCUACGGGAGGCAGCAGUAGGGAAUCUUCCGCAAUGGACGAAAGUCUGACGGAGCAACGCCGCGUGAGUGAUGAAGGGUUUCGGCUCGUAAAGCUCUGUUGUUAGGGAAGAAACAGUACCGAACGAACUAGGUCGGUACCUUGACGGUACCUAACCAGAAAGCCACGGCUAACUACGUG